rnacentral:rRNA from 1 species
UUUGAUCAUGGCUCAGGACGAACGCUGGCGGCGUGCUUAACACAUGCAAGUCGAACGAUGAACCACUUCGGUGGGGAUUAGUGGCGAACGGGUGAGUAACACGUGGGCAAUCUGCCCUUCACUCUGGGACAAGCCCUGGAAACGGGGUCUAAUACCGGAUAACACUUCCACUCUCCUGGGUGGUGGUUAAAAGCUCCGGCGGUGAAGGAUGAGCCCGCGGCCUAUCAGCUUGUUGGUGAGGUAAUGGCUCACCAAGGCGACGACGGGUAGCCGGCCUGAGAGGGCGACCGGCCACACUGGGACUGAGACACGGCCCAGACUCCUACGGGAGGCAGCAGUGGGGAAUAUUGCACAAUGGGCGAAAGCCUGAUGCAGCGACGCCGCGUGAGGGAUGACGGCCUUCGGGUUGUAAACCUCUUUCAGCAG